AAACCGGAGGAAGGUGGGGAUGACGUCAAAUCAUCAUGCCCCUUAUGAUUUGGGCUACACACGUGCUACAAUGGACGGUACAAAGGGCAGCGAACCCGCGAGGUCAAGCAAAUCCCAUAAAGCCGUUCUCAGUUCGGAUUGUAGUCUGCAACUCGACUACAUGAAGCUGGAAUCGCUAGUAAUCGUAGAUCAGCAUGCUACGGUGAAUACGUUCCCGGGUCUUGUACACACCGCCCGUCACACCACGAGAGUUU
rnacentral:rRNA from 1 species